UACGUAGGGUGCGAGCGUUAAUCGGAAUUACUGGGCGUAAAGCGUGCGCAGGCGGUGAUGUAAGACAGAUGUGAAAUCCCCGGGCUCAACCUGGGAACUGCAUUUGUGACUGCAUCGCUGGAGUGCGGCAGAGGGGGAUGGAAUUCCGCGUGUAGCAGUGAAAUGCGUAGAUAUGCGGAGGAACACCAGUGGCGAAGGCGGCUUCCUGGACCAGCACUGACGCUGAUGCGCGAAAGCUAGGGGAGCAAACAGG
rnacentral:rRNA from 1 species